UAUCAAAAUUUUAAUUUUAUUUGGAAAGAAAAAAGUCACAGAUCAAAGUUUGCGUUCAGCUUCUCCCAAAAAUAAAACACACUGCGUUUUCUACCGAUCUAUCUCUCGAUUCUAGGUUUUGCUCUCUCUCGAUCUCUCUCCCGAUCUCGUUUCCCUCUCAAUUUGGAUCUCGCUUCCGAUCUCGAUUUCUCUCUCUCUUUGGAUCUCGUUCUCACUCUCGAUAACACGUUCUCGUCGAGGUUUUCUAACUUGAUUUUAACAGUAUUGAUUUUGACAAUACUUGAUUUUGAAAGUUAUCUAACUUGAUUAAAGAAACUUUGGGGCAAAAUCUCUUCAUUUUGGGUACCUUGGACACAAGUGAGCAAGUCAAGGCCAUUGUUGUUAAUCGCUGACUUUGUCGACAGAAACCGUAAGCUUUUCUCAGGGAUCAGUGCAUUUUUCCUUAGCCUGGUAAGACCGAUCCCAUUGCAUGGUUUCCUUAUUUCUUUAUUUUAAUUUCUUUAAUUUGUACAGAAUUCGUAUUCGCAUCAUGACAAUUCGGAUUUGGGUGUUUCUGCUUUUACUCACUAUACUUUUGCUUUCUUUGACUGGAUUAGUUUAUAUCAUAAAUUGGAUGCUUCUACUAUUUAUAAAUCUAUACACCAUAUAACAUUAACAUUGUUUUUGCGCAUAAAGUCACAAAACCAAACCCACUGUGAUUGUUAAAAAAAGUGGUUAUUAAUAUUACCGCUUUUUUUUUCAAGCUAGGUGAAUUUAAUUUCGGAGACAUUAAGUGUGAAAGCUAGUGAAACUACUUACUUGAUUUUUGUUGGCUUUAUUGAAAUUUAUACUUGUUUAGUAAUUUUACCAAACAAUAUAUAGAAAAUAAAGUACUAGAGGUGUUUCAAAGUCUAAAACUACAUCAAAGCAUCCAAAUGAAACUAUUCAGAAGAAAAUGACACUUCUUUCUUGUACACUAUUCUUCAAAGUAAUCAUUAUACUUUGAUGCUGUCCUUUUCUUUACCAAAAAAGGUAAAUAAUUCACAUGUUUUUGUGAAGAGUACAACAAGACUAACAAUUUCAAUAUACAAAGUGAAAAGUAAAACUUGCAUAGAUGGAAAAGUAUCAAAACUAUUAUAGAAGUGAAUAUAUUAUACUCUACUGCCUAGAAAAUGAUUGACAAAGUUUUAGUGUCAUUUUCAUAUAUUUGCAUGAAAGUUAGAGACAAGAUAAAAUCAUAUACCACAAAUUAGAGAAGAAAGGGAUAACUGCUAUUUGUUUCAUUAGUUUUCAAUUUACUAAUCAAAAGUUAAAAAUAUCCUCUUUGUAAAAUGAGUUUAGAAAAUAGUUUAAAUAUUUGUACUUAGAUGCUUAUAUUCGUGUAUAUUUAUCUAUUUACUUUAGGAUUUAAUCCUCUUAGUAAACAUUUGAUGGGAAAAUGAUACGAAAUGCAAAAGAUUUUUCCUUAUUUGAUUCCAAUUCCCCAAUGGAAGAAGUGGACAUAAAUGAUAUAUAUAUAUAUGUCAACAAAAGUUCCAUUUACUAAUCAAUUCAUAAAUGAGAAUGAUUCUAGUGAAAAUGAAGAAUUCUUAGAUGAAGAUGAAGAUGAAGAAUCAUAUGAUUUAGAUUCAAAUAGUAGCUUGUAACUUUUUUCUUUUUCAAAUAAGAGGGUUAAUUGUUAUUGUUUAUUGCUAUUAUACAUAUACAGCUCCUUAUUGUUUGCUCUUUUUCAAAUAAUAGGGUUAAUUGCAUGGUGAAAAUGAACAGAGAAGUUCUGAGAGUAAUCUAUGGCUGUUGCCUAAUACUAAGAUGUUUGAUGCUAACAAAUCUUUAGUUCUGAGAAUAAUCUAUUUUGCUAAUUAAAUUUUGUGUGGAGUUUUGAAAUUUGUAUUGGCAUUUACUUAUUGAUUGCUAUGAUGUGAAUAUAUGAAGGAAUAUUUUAACCAUUGUGAUGUUUUGAAUACUGUAGUAAGUUUCAACUGUGGGUGACUGAGUUUUUGAAAAUAUGCAUUGAUAUUACUGCUAUUAUAGAUAUCUUAGUAUGACAAUCCGAGGUAGAGGAGGUACGUAGACGGAGUCAAGAGAGUGGUCGCAAUCAACUCCACUCUUCACCUUUGCGAGGUGUGCAUAUUGACCGGAACAAAAGGCAAAGGUUAGGGAUGGUUGAUGCAUUAAAGCAUAAGCAUAAAUUCACUUAUGAUUUUGAAGAUCUCUAUGAUGAUAUUGAAGAUGAAGAGACGCAAUUAAUCAAGAAGAGAAAUUAUCAACGACAAUUACUCAAGCGCCAAAAAAUUGAUGCAUAUAAUGUAAAAGAAGGUAAAGGAGUGAGUUUUGAAAUUUCCAACAAUAUGGGACAAUCUAGUAGAAGAAUUAUAUACAAUCAAGGGAGAGAGCGUAAUGACCGACCAGAACCUUCUCAGUCUUGCACUAGUCCAGCACCACCACCUCCACGUGCACAAUUCUGCAGAGGUAUCUCUUCCACAAAACUUGAACCACAUUGGUCAAGUCACUAAGAUGUGUCUUUAAAGGGAAAAAGAAUCUUGAAAUUCUAUAAACAGUUCUCUUCUGUUUAAUUUCCAACAGUAUAUAAUAGCCAGAGCUUGAUAGAGAAUUUGAGAGCAUAUUUAACUGAGUUUUCAUCAAAUUUAACAGAGGUUAUCCCUCAAGUUUCUUGCCUUUUCUUCAGCAGAAAAUUGUUAUAUACUUGAACUUUGUCAUGUUAGAAACUAUAUUUCAUUCAAAGAUGUGUUUGUGUCCGAUGUUUGUGGUCGACACUAAGGGUCAUGGUCCCAAAGGAAUGAAGGCAGAGGUAUGGGACGGUUUGGUUGACAUUUGAUUGAAACCAGAGUGGAAGAAGAAAUCCGAUGCAAAUCGUUGUAACAGGGCUGCCUUACCUGAUGCAGUGUUGCACACAUGAGGUUCUAUUAACUUAGGUGAACAUAAGAAAAGGAUGGUAAGUUCUGAUGAGAUUUUAUGUGUUUAUAGUUGUCCUAUUUAUCAUCUUAAAAUGUUUCGAAGCAAUAUCUAUUUCAAUUCUUUAAACGCAUAUUUGCCAUGAGCUGCCAAUUUAGAAUAUUUUGGAUGUCUUUAAGUUUUCGGAGUCCUUGAAAAUUAUUUGGAACUCUUCUGAUUGUAAUCAGCAUUCAGUCUUAUGAAGCAUUGGUGUAUUAUGAUAUGAUUUUCAUUAGUGGUUCUCUGGAUCUCUGAUCUGCUACUAAAUUUAGUUUAUUUGUCAUGCUGACUGAGGGAGAAGGAACUGAAGUUAUUCAAAGUUGAUGACUUGUUAUUGUAUUCAAGUGUUUCCUUGAUCUCAGUAUUAGGUUAGUUAAUGGUAUUUCCACUUAUGAUCAAUAGUACUUCAUACAGCUCGUUAAGUAGAUAAACUACUGUCCCUAUGUCAAAUAAGCUUGCCUUCAAGCUGAGUUAUAUACGUGAGAAUGGUAGGGUUAAAACUAUUAGUUGCUUCUCAUACUGUAAUUAGCAUUCAAUCUUCAUAUUUUGAUAUGUUCUCACUAUUAAGUGACCUUAAUUUGGCAAUACUGACUAGUUAGGCAGAACCCAUAAUAUAAUGUUCUUCUUUUGUGUUACUUUUUUGUUUGCUAAAUCUUAAAUAAAUUAAUAUGUUGGAUUUAGGUUUGAAUGGAAAUAAAUGUGUAAGCACUUUUUGAUACUUGAUAUAUUCCUUUGUUUAUGUUUAGGCUGUGGACUCUAUAAUGUAAAUUGUGGUUUAUGAAUACUGUAAGCAGUAUUGUUUGUUUUAGAGAGAUAUUGUCUAAAUAUAACACAUGAUUGGAUCUUUUUAAAUGUGAAUUGCAGGAGGAGGAGUUGAAACAUACAGUUUCGUUUAGAGACGUGUAUGCUCGAGUUCAUAAGAAAAAAGAUGGAGAAUAUGUCUUUCAACGGUCGAAGUUAUUUGUUGAGUCAUAUGACACUGCUAUAGUGGAAAAGUAUGGAGAAAACACAUUUGGCGCCGAUGUUGGAGCCAAUCCUUUCAUUGAUUCAAUCCAUGCCAAAAGCACCCAUGCAAAGUGAAGUACCUGAAAAAACUCAUGGAGAUACAAGGUGAAAGAAUGUUUUCCAAUCUAUUUCGAAAACCGGAGUUAAUAUGGAACCUGAGUUGUGAUUUCUGAAUUGGAAAUAAAAUAGAAUAUUAUGUUGUGAUUUCUGAAUUGGAAAUAAAAUAGAAUAUUAUUGUAAUGUAUAAUGUUUUAGUGUUGUUAAAUAUAUUAAAAACUUGAUUUUUGAAUAUUAUUGUGAUGUAUAUUGUUUAAGUGUUGUUAAA